rnacentral:rRNA from 1 species
AUUGAACGCUGGCGGAAUGCUUUACACAUGCAAGUCGAACGGCAGCACGGACUUCGGUCUGGUGGCGAGUGGCGAACGGGUGAGUAAUGUAUCGGAACGUGCCCAGUCGUGGGGGAUAACGUAGUGAAAAUUACGCUAAUACCGCAUACGAUCUAUGGAUGAAAGCGGGGGAUCGCAAGACCCCGCGCGAUUGGAGCGGCCGAUAUCAGAUUAGGUAGGUGGUGGGGCAAAGGCCCACCAAGCAAACGAUCUGUAGCUGGUCUGAGAGGACGACCAGCCACACUGGAACUGAGACACGGUCCAGACUCCUACGGGAGGCAGCAGUGGGGAAUUUUGGACAAUGGGCGAAAGCCUGAUCCAGCCAUUCCGCGUGCAGGAUGAAGGCCCUCGGGUUGUAAACUGCUUUUGUACAGAACGAAAAGGUUUCUACUAAUACUAGGAGCUCAUGACGGUACUGUAAGAAUAAGCACCGGCUAACUACGUGCCAGCAGCCGCCGUAA